rnacentral:rRNA from 1 species
GAUGAACGCUGGCGGCGUGCCUAAUACAUGCAAGUAGAACGCUGAAGGAAGGAGCUUGCUCUUUCCGGAUGAGUUGCGAACGGGUGAGUAACGCGUAGGUAACCUGCCUGGUAGCGGGGGAUAAUUAUUGGAAACGAUAGCUAAUACCGCAUAACAGUAGAUGUUGCAUGACAACUAUUUGAAAGGGGCAAUUGCUCCACUACCAGAUGGACCUGCGUUGUAUUAGCUAGUUGGUGAGGUAACGGCUCACCAAGGCGACGAUACAUAGCCGACCUGAGAGGGUGAUCGGCCACACUGGGACUGAGACACGGCCCAGACUCCUACGGGAGGCAGCAGUAGGGAAUCUUCGGCAAUGGACGGAAGUCUGACCGAGCAACGCCGCGUGAGUGAAGAAGGUUUUCGGAUCGUAAAGCUCUGUUGUAAGAGAAGAACGAGUGUGAGAGUGGAAAGUUCACACUGUGACGGUAUCUUACCAGAAAGGGACGGCUAACUACGUG